AUUGAACGCUGGCGGCAUGCCUUACACAUGCAAGUCGAACGGUAACGCGGGGCAACCUGGCGACGAGUGGCGAACGGGUGAGUAAUGCAUCGGAACGUGCCCAGUAGUGGGGGAUAGCCCGGCGAAAGCCGGAUUAAUACCGCAUACGACCUACGGGUGAAAGCGGGGGACCGUAAGGCCUCGCGCUAUUGGAGCGGCCGAUGUCAGAUUAGGUAGUUGGUGGGGUAAAGGCCUACCAAGCCUUCGAUCUGUAGCUGGUCUGAGAGGACGACCAGCCACACUGGGACUGAGACACGGCCCAGACUCCUACGGGAGGCAGCAGUGGGGAAUUUUGGACAAUGGGCGCAAGCCUGAUCCAGCCAUGCCGCGUG
rnacentral:rRNA from 1 species